GCAUCUGUGGUUCAGUGGUAGAAUGCUCACCUGCCACGCAGGCGGCCCGGGUUCGAUUCCCUUUCGAUGCA
rnacentral:tRNA from 1 species